AAAGUAUUACUGCAGGGUGUAAGUACCACACUUGGAGAUCAAAGAUUGUUCCACUAGAAUAGUCAAAUGUAAAUGUCGAUUGAUUCCAAGGUAGAAACUUGAACCUAGUAGAAACUCCCCAGGAUUGUCAGAUCACAGAUGUUCGUAGAAUUGCUUAUAGUUGUAACAUUUGAUCUGAAAUGGGAAAAUGAACCUCAUAGAAGCUCCCGUAAGACUGUCUGAUCUUCAUUAUUGAGCGUGAUUGUAAUUUCAGAUGAAUGACAUCGAAGUUCGAGAUGGCUGGCAAUAUCAACUGAGCACGUAUUGCCCCCUUCACUUCAUGAAAAAGCUAUGGAAUAAUUACUAUUCUUGUGCAUAUCGGUAUCCACUGCGAUAGACCGUCACUUUGAACAAAUAUCUGGAAACUCCAUGAUCCGCACCAUGCCAUUUUUUAGGCUGCAGUUGUCUAUCCAUCUCUCUUACUUUAUUUGAUCGACAAUGCACGAUUGCUACCAUAUAAAUGAUUUCAGGUUCGUAGAACCUCACUCCCCUGUAUCACCGUACAAUGACUGGUAAAGAAUGGUUUUUAAGUUCAAAAUUUCGGUA